AGAGUUUGAUCAUGGCUCAGGAUGAACGCUAGCGGCAGGCUUAAUACAUGCAAGUCGUGGGGCAGCAGGGUUGUAGCAAUACAAUCGCUGGCGACCGGCAAACGGGUGCGUAACACGUACGCAACCUUCCCGUUACUGUGGAAUAGCCCAGGGAAACUUGGAUUAAUACCACAUAUUAUAUUGAUGAGGCAUCUCGUUGAUAUCAAAGCUUCGGCGGUAACGGAUGGGCGUGCGGUUGAUUAGGUAGUUGGCGGGGUAACGGCCCACCAAGCCUACGAUCAAUAGCUGAUGUGAGAGCAUGAUCAGCCACACGGGCACUGAGACACGGGCCCGACUCCUACGGGAGGCAGCAGUAAGGAAUAUUGGGCAAUGGACGAAAGUCUGACCCAGCCAUGCCGCGUGAAGGAUUAAGGUCCUCUGGAUUGUAAACUUCUUUUCUCUGGGGCGAGAACCACCCUUUCUAGGGUAUUUGACAGUACCAGAGGAAUAAGCACCGGCUAACUCCGUGCCAGCAGCCGCGGUAAUACGGAGGGUGCAAGCGUUAUCCGGAUUCACUGGGUUUAAAGGGUGCGUAGGUGGGUCUGUAAGUCAGUGGUGAAAUCCCCGAGCUUAACUUGGGAACUGCCGUUGAUACUAUAGAUCUUGAAUAUCGUGGAGGUAAGCGGAAUAUGUCAUGUAGCGGUGAAAUGCUUAGAUAUGACAUAGAACGCCAAUUGCGAAGGCAGCUUACUACACGAUCAUUGACACUGAGGCACGAAAGCGUGGGGAGCAAACAGGAUUAGAUACCCUAGUAGUCC
rnacentral:rRNA from 1 species